UACGUAGGGGGCAAGCGUUGUCCGGAAUCAUUGGGCGUAAAGCGCGUGUAGGCGGCCCGAUAAGUCCGCUGUGAAAGUCCAGGGCUCAACCCUGGAAAGCCGGCCGAUACUGUCGGACUAGAGUCCGGAAGAGGCAAGUGGAAUUCCCGGUGUAGCGGUGAAAUGCGCAGAUAUCGGGAGGAACACCAAUUGCGAAGGCGGGUCUCUGGGCCGACACUGACGCUGAGGAGCGAAAGCGUGGGGAGCGAACAGG
rnacentral:rRNA from 1 species